rnacentral:rRNA from 1 species
UGGGGAAUUUUGGACAAUGAGCGAAAGCCUGAUCCAGCAAUGCCGCGUGUGUGAAGAAGGCCUUCGGGUUGUAAAGCACUUUUGUCCGGAAAGAAAUCCUUGGCUCUAAUACAGUCGGGGGAUGACGGUACCGGAAGAAUAAGCACCGGCUAACUACGUGCCAGCAGCCGCGGUAAUACGUAGGUGGCAAGCGUUAAUCGGAAUUACUGGGCGUAAAGCGUGCGCAGGCGGUUUGCUAAGACCGAUGUGAAAUCCCCGGGCUCAACCUGGGAACUGCAUUGGUGACUGGCAGGCUAGAGUAUGGCAGAGGGGGGUAGAAUUCCACGUGUAGCAGUGAAAUGCGUAGAGAUGUGGAGGAAUACCGAUGGCGAAGGCAGCCCCCUGGGCCAAUACUGACGCUCAUGCACGAAAGCGUGGGGGAGCAAACAGGAUUAGAUACCCCUGGUAGUCCACGCCCUAAACGAUGUCAACUAGUUGCUGGGGAUUCAUUUCCUUAGUAACGUAGCUAACGCGUGAAGUUGACCGCCUGGGGAGUACGGUCGCAAGAUUAAAACUUAAAGGAAUUGACGGGGUCAUAGCUGUUUCCU